rnacentral:rRNA from 1 species
AUUGAACGCUGGCGGCAUGCUUUACACAUGCAAGUCGAACGGUAACAGGCCGCAAGGUGCUGACGAGUGGCGCACGGGUGAGUAAUGCAUCGGAACGUGCCCAGUCGUGGGGGAUAACUACUCGAAAGAGUAGCUAAUACCGCAUACGAUCUAUGGAUGAAAGCGGGGGACCGUAAGGCCUCGCGCGAUUGGAGCGGCCGAUGUCAGAUUAGGUAGUUGGUGGGGUAAAGGCUCACCAAGCCAACGAUCUGUAGCUGGUCUGAGAGGACGACCAGCCACACUGGGACUGAGACACGGCCCAGACGCCUACGGGAGGCAGCAGUGGGGAAUUUUGGACAAUGGGCGCAAGCCUGAUCCAGCAAUGCCGCGUGCAGGAAGAAGGCCUUCGGGUUGUAAACUGCUUUUGUACGGAACGAAACGGCUCUGGUUAAUACCCGGGGCUAAUGACGGUACCGGAAGAAUAAGCACCGGCUAACUACGUG